UACGAACUUUUAAAUAGUUUACUGUGCUUUUAAAUAGCGAAAGCUAUGAGCUAUUUAUGAGGAUUAGACACAAUCAAAACAGUCUGGAGUCGUUUUUGCGAUCUCUCUCCAUCCAGAGCCACGUCCUCACACACUAAGGAGAUGGAGAUAUGGAUGACAUCAUUCCCUGGCUCUUAUUGGACGCCGAGAAUUGCCAGUGUUAGACAUCGGUGGGAUCACAUCAUUAGGCUGCUGCUGUAUCGUGCGCAUAUCAGAGCGCCAAUAAACCGGGUUUAUUUGGAACACGUCCACCUGAUCGCCGCCAACUCGAGUUUAUCGCUUUACUUCACAAAAGUCCUACUAGAUCCCGUUAAAUUACCGAGUUGGCCACAUAUGUGAAAUGCAGCUUCAGUGUGAAACUGCAUUUUCCUGAAGCAUCAGCGGCGGCGCGUGGAGGAGCUUCCCAGAGCGCGCGCCGCUGGCUGUCCUCUGUGAUGCGGAUAUCAAAAGGAGCAGCCGGGUCUGACACGCGCCCGCCGGAGGAGGGAUGUCAGAACCAAGUUACAAAGAGGUUUUGUUCUGCACAGGAGGACAACGGAUUCCACGCGAGCGCCGACGGAGAGCUUCCGCACCGAUCGAGUCGGUGUCCGAGGAGUGACCGGCGGCGCGAUGCGUUUUACGCGCACCUUAUCCUGGAAUUUCCGGCUGAAGCGGACCAGCUGUUGCCGGCCGGAGCUGAAGGUGACCCGUUGGCUGCGCCAGCGGCUGCAACACAGGACAUGGGUCCUGCCUGUCGUCCCCGCUCGUGUCUUGUGUUGCAGCCAGUGGAGACGCCUGUCUGCCUCCCCGCCCGUCCGCCGCCGAGCCCAGCUCGCACAACAGAUGGACGCCAGCGCCUCUGGACCCGCUGACCUCACCUCUACCCUGUGAAAAACCUGAGCUCCUUCCCUCUAUUUCAGUUUGAGGGAAAUACAGGAGGUUGGAGGGAAAUGUUACUGCUGCUCCCUUUGCAGGGAGAUUAUUGUUCAUAUUCAAGGCCGGUUGUACUGUAGGUCAUGUCUUAUCAAUAGCCGCACGCCGUCGUCCCCUGAGAAUAACUUCCUGGCAACAUGACAUUUUAAAUAAAGUUAAGACUUUGCAA